rnacentral:rRNA from 1 species
UACGUAGGGUGCGAGCGUUGUCCGGAAUUACUGGGUCGUAAAGAGCUCGUAGGUGGUUUGUCGCGUUGUUCGUGAAAACCGGGGGCUUAACCCUCGGCGAUGCGGGCGAUACGGGUCAGACUUGAGUACUGCAGGGGAGACUGGAAUUCCUGGUGUAGCGGUGGAAAUGCGCAGAUAUCAGGAGGAACACCGGUGGCGAAGGCGGGUCUCUGGGCAAGUAACUGACGCUGAGGAGCGAAAGCGUGGGGGAGCGAAACAGG